ACUACGAGCUCAGCUUAAAACCCAAAGGACUUGACGGUGUCCCAUCCUACUAGAGGAGCCUGUUCUACAACCGAUAAUCCACGUUACACCUAACCAUUUUUUGCUUUCCAGCCUGUAUACCUCCGUCGCAAGCCUGCCAUGUGAACGCAUAAUAGCUAGCUUAAGGACCCAAAAGCCAACACGUCAGGUCAAGGUGCAGCUCAUAAAAUGGGAAGAGAUGGGCUACAAUUUCUAUCCUAGAACAAACGAAAUUCUACAUGAAACACACUAUGAAGGCGGAUUUAGCAGUAAAUAGGUAAUAGAGAGCCCUAUUAAAUUUGGCCCUGGGACGCGUACAAACCGCCCGUCACCCUCUUCAAUAAUGCCCCACAAUACAUAAACCUCAGCCCACAUCCCAGAAGAGGCAAGUCGAAACAUGGUAAGUGUACUGGAAAGUGCACUUGGAAAA
rnacentral:rRNA from 1 species